rnacentral:rRNA from 1 species
UACAGAGGGGGCGAGCGUUGUUCGGAAUUACUGGGCGUAAAGGGCGCGUAGGCGGCCCGCUAAGUCGAACGUGAAAUCCCCAGGCUCAACCUGGGAACUGCGUCCGAUACUGGCAGGCUUGAAUUCGGGAGAGGGAUGUGGAAUUCCAGGUGUAGCGGUGAAAUGCGUAGAUAUCUGGAGGAACACCGGUGGCGAAGGCGGCAUCCUGGACCGGUAUUGACGCUGAGGCGCGAAAGCUAGGGGAGCAAACGGG